CGCCCGCGGGCCACGCCUCCCGGCUGCCCCGGAGGCUCCCGGAGCUGGAGCGAAGCCAGCAAUCACUAGCAUUGAUGGAGCGCUCGCUGUGCGCCAAGCGGUGUUCUAGAAGCCUCAGCUCUCUUCCUGCUCGCAUCAACCUAGCACCUGUUAGCCCGGCCAUUUUACAGACGGAGACAAAUGAGGCACAGAGUGGCACUGGGAGAUCAGACACUGAGGAGACAUAGACCCUGCCCUCAAGGAGCUUACAGUCGAGAGAGGAGACGGAGACCAGCCAACAGGCCUUCCCGAAAGCGUGGCGGAGAACAGAUCUGUUCUACCUGUGACCACCAGGGCGAUUCUGUCGCGGACUUCAGCAGGUGAAGCAGCUGGGACCUGAGGUGCCUCCAGGAGAAGGAGGAGACUCAUAAUCCAGGGCUUAGUUCCCCCAGGGGUGCCCCCUUCUGACCACUCUCCUUCCCUGUCCCACCCCAACUCCUGCCCUUGCUGUGGCUGCUGGCUUCCCCUUCUGUCUUUCCCCACGUCCCCCUCCCCAAGCAGCCUGGAGACACUCCAGAGCAACCUUCUCCCCACGCCAGGCAGUCCCUCUCCCACAACAGACUCAC